UGAUCCUGCGCCGAAGAUGUCCGUGGCUAAAACUUGCGACCGAAGCUACGGCAUCAGUAAUGAUGGGUAGGGGAGCUUCCCAUACGGGUUGAAGCAUGACCGUAAGGACAUGUGGACAGUAUGGGAGUGAGAAUGUUGGCAUGGGUAGCGAGAUGUGGGUGAGAAUCCCACAGGCCGUAAACCCAAGGUUUCCAGGGGGAGGUUCGUCCGCCCUGGGUUAGUCGGGACCUAAGCUGAGGCCGAAAGGCGUAGGUGAUGGACAACAGGUUGAUAUUCCUGUACUACCGAUAACCGUUUGAGAGAAGGGAUGACACAGUAGGAUAAGCUAAGCACACUGUUGGUUAUGUGUGCCCAAGCAUUGAGGCAGUCAAAGUAGGCAAAUCCGCUUUGAUAAUGCUGGGAUGUGAUGGGGAGCGAAAUUUAGUAGCGAA
rnacentral:rRNA from 1 species